CCUGGAGAGAGUCAAGCCCCGCCGGAGGCCAGACUGGGCGGAGCUACAGAGCUCUGAGCCCGCCCCACAAAGGGUCAAGCGCCGACCCGGAAUUAUAAA